rnacentral:misc_RNA from 1 species
UCUCAAUACCCUUUCUUCAAUAUUUUUCAAUAUAUCUACAAUGUAUUUACUGUAUCAUUCUUUUCGAUCUCAUGACAAUAUCGAUGCGAUUCGACUAAUCGUGACUGACAUCAUAUGUCGAUAACAACGUCACAUAGUGCAUACAAUGCGGCGUUGCGAUCAAUUAAAGUAGCACCAAAAAGAAAACGCGAGUAAUGAGCCAAUUCGAUGAAAGUGCAAAGUUGUGUCAUUAAAUCGAGGAAAACUAUGCCUUGGAGAUUAACGCUAGCCAUGGAUUAUGGAUUCGUCACGCAGUCAACGAGGAACGUCGUGGCGGCGUGACGUAACGACGGCCGGACAACCUCUCACAAAGACCCGCGACAAAAGGGGAGAAGGCCAGAACCGAAGAAGAUACGGAUCCUGGCCCGUGUCCACCACUUUUUCCAAUUCCUUGUCUAACCGGAGAACGAGAGAAACUAGAGACGCUCCUUCCUUGCGAGAUCCGCGAAACAGAUUCGAAACUAGACCAUGUCGAGGAAGAUGAUUUUUUGCAGCACAUGAGUCAGAGGACGAUGCGAAUCGAGAGCGACUGUUGUUGCUUUGCCUCGGGACAUUGACACCGUCUUGACGUACAAAACGUAACGAUAAAUAAACUCCGGGCAAAACAAUGUCGCCGCUACGUACAACCAACCGAAGUUGAAUUUAAGCUUUUCGGUACUCCCUCGACCAGUAUAAAUAAACGAACACGAUCGUUGAAACGAUCAAUGAGUAUCGAGCAUUCUUAUAACGAAUUAAUAUCGAGCAAUCUUAUAGCGAUUAAUAUCGAGCGAACGUACUCAUUACCGUGUGUACGUAUAUCGAGCAACACUGAGCGAACGACGACUAACUCUGUACUGCAAAUAGUUUUAAAUACAUUUGACUAUACAAAGUAUUGACUCGUAUCGACACUAUAUACACCAACACGUUUAAUCGUACAUCCACGAAUUUAUGGUGAUAGAUAGAAGGAAAGUAGCUCCUUAUAAGAAAGCGAAAUCGCGUAAAGUAUUAAUUAGGUUACGUACCAUCCACGAUGUAGUCUUUUCUCCUUCUGUUUAAUACAUUCUGCCAUCAAUUAUGGGAUGAAUUGUAAUUCUAUCAUCUAUAAUUUGCUUUAUCGUGCCAUUAUUGUCCAUCUGUUUUGUAAGGUGAUGAUAGAUACUUGUAAUAAUUUUACAUGAUUUGUGGUUAUAUGUGCAUAAAUUGUAUUUCCAAGAUGACGACAGCGUCAUCUAUUUGGCGAUUUAUUCGCGCGUAAGAAGUCAAACGUUCGUUUAAAAUCCACUGUCGAUAAAAUCGAUCCAGUUGGGCCUUUAUAAAUCUUGUUGAAUUCGUUACAGACAGUCCGUUUCACGGAAGAACACCUUUUCACGUGUGGUUUGAGAAACACAAAAAAGUUGAUCGAGUCACACGAAGAAACGACUUUUAAACGGCUCGUUUACCAUAAUACAAACUGCUCGAGAGAAUCAGUCGCCCUGAAAUCUUACGAAACGGC